AUUGAACGCUGGCGGAAUGCUUUACACAUGCAAGUCGAGCGGCAGCGCGGGGCAACCUGGCGGCGAGCGGCGAACGGGUGAGUAACAUAUCGGAACGUAUCCUUAAGUGGGGGACAACCUAGCGAAAGUUAGGCUAAUACCGCAUACGCAGGGAACUGGAAAGUGGGGGACCGCAAGGCCUCACGCUUUUGGAGCGGCCGAUAUCAGAUUAGCUUGUUGGUGAGGUAAAGGCUCACCAAGGCGACGAUCUGUAGCUGGUCUGAGAGGAUGAUCAGCCACACUGGGACUGAGACACGGCCCAGACUCCUACGGGAGGCAGCAGUGGGGAAUUUUGGACAAUGGGGGCAACCCUGAUCCAGCCAUUCCGCGUGAGUGAAGAAGGCCUGGUGUAAG
rnacentral:rRNA from 1 species